GAUGAACGCUGGCGGCGUGCCUAAUACAUGCAAGUCGAGCGAACGGACGAGAAGCUUGCUUCUCUGAUGUUAGCGGCGGACGGGUGAGUAACACGUGGAUAACCUACCUAUAAGACUGGGAUAACUUCGGGAAACCGUAGCUAAUACCGGAUAAUAUUUUGAACCGCAUGGUUCAAAAGUGAAAGACGGUCUUGCUGUCACUUAUAGAUGGAUCCGCGCUGCAUUAGCUAGUUGGUAAGGUGACGGCUUACCAAGGCAACGAUGCAUAGCCGACCUGAGGGGGUGAUCGGCCACACUGGAACUGAGACACGGUCCAGACUCCUACGGGAGGCAGCAGUAGGGAAUCUUCCGCAAUGGGCGAAAGCCUGACGGAGCAACGCCGCGUGAGUGAUGGAGGUCUUCGGAUCGUAAAACUCUGUUAUUAGGGAAGAACAUAUGUGUAAGUAACUGUGCACAUCUUGACGGUACCUAAUCAGAAAGCCACGGCUAACUACGUG
rnacentral:rRNA from 1 species